UCACGUCCUGUACAAUUGAACACAUCCAG
rnacentral:piRNA from 1 species